AUGCUCUCCAGGCUGGAAGGAUCAUUCCAGCCCCUUGUGAAUUUUAUGAAGCCAGGCAGGAAAAAAUGUACAAGGAGCAGUGAUGAGACAACAGCAGCAGCAACAAAGAAGCAAGGAAAGGGAGCAAAAGUAAAUUUGCACCACAUGUGCAAUUAUCAUCACAGAACAACAUUUUAUCAGGACAGGUGCUGGAUUAACAACACUGAUCCUCUACUACAGCAGACUCUGAGGUUUCAAGGCAGGAAGACAGGUGAUUUGUGGCUUUCAGUGAUACAAUUUAUCUGUGCUGCUUGGCAGCUCAGCUGGCUCCCCUUCUCCUCCUGAGGAACACAACCACAUGCAGAUGCUAUUUAUACACCGGGCAAAUUAUUUCUGCAACCAUAUUUUCCCAAUAAAGCCUGCCUCCUGUCCCGUCCA
rnacentral:lncRNA from 1 species